GGGGGCGUACCGGUUUCGACGGGGACGCGGAAGCAGGAAUAGCGGGCGGUGGCGCCUGACCACCUGAAAACGGGCAACUUAUAAAUUAAAGAACGAUAACGAUACCGUUCUCGCCGCUGCUUAAAUAGCGGCCGUCUGACCCGGGAGGACCACGGCCCGGGAACAGGCGUCGUUUCGUGGUGCACGUGCGCCGGCAAAGCUUUGAACCGGCCAUGAACGAUGAAGCUCACCUGACCCGUCGGCGUGACGGCUUGCCGGCAGGAAAGGGAACUGGGAGAGCAAGACUCCCAAAAUAACCGUCUGCGCCCGGAGAAGUUCCUGGGGAAGCGUUUUCGGACGGGAGUUCGACUCUCCCCGCCUCCACCA
rnacentral:tmRNA from 2 species